ACACCUCAACUCUCAUGGCUUGCCAUGACGAGCUUGGACUUUGGGGGUCUUGCCGGCAUAACCGUCGGCUCCUCUCAAAUGGAUCAGCUUGCCAGUGUUUGGUGGCGUCACAGGUGUGAUAACUAUCUACGCUUGUGGUCUUCCAUCAGUUUACCUUCAGUGAUGGAGGUUCAUUGGAGCUUACAGACGUCUCUCCUCGGGGAGGACAGCUUUUCAAAC
rnacentral:misc_RNA from 1 species